UAACCCAUGCAGUGAUGUGUGGCUGAACUAUCAGAAGUCAGCAGAAGCCAUAGUACAAGGUUAGUCAUGAAUAACCUUGGAAGGGC
rnacentral:ncRNA from 1 species